rnacentral:rRNA from 1 species
GCGGCAGGCCUAAUACAUGCAAGUCGAACGGUAGAUUACUUUCGGGUAAUUGAGAGUGGCGCACGGGUGCGUAACGCGUAUGCAACCUACCCUAUACAGGGGGAUAGCCCGGAGAAAUCUGGAUUAAUACCCCAUAGUACUAUGAUGAGGCAUUUUGUUAUAGUUAAAGAUUCAUCGGUAUAGGAUGGGCAUGCGUCUGAUUAGCUAGUUGGCGGUGUAACGGACCACCAAGGCGACGAUCAGUAGGGGUUCUGAGAGGAAGGUCCCCCACACUGGCACUGAGAUACGGGCCAGACUCCUACGGGAGGCAGCAGUAGGGAAUAUUGGGCAAUGGACGAGAGUCUGACCCAGCCAUGCCGCGUGCAGGAAGACGGCGUUCUGCGUUGUAAACUGCUUUUAUCUGGGAAGAAAAGGCCCAUGCGUGGGACAUUGCCGGUACCAGAUGAAUAAGCACCGGCUAACUCCGUGCCAGCAGCCGCGGUAAUACGGAGGGUGCAAGCG